UGGGAGAAAUAUUGUACAUUCAAUGAAAACUACCAUCUAUUCUAAAAACAUUGCUGCUCUCCCCUGCUCUUUCUGGAGAUGGCAGCAUUAGCUACAAUGUUCAUCCUUAAGACACCCCCCCCCCCCCCCAUCGCCAACUAACUACCCCCUUCUAGGGGAAUAAAAACUGUUGUAUCCAGAGAGAAUGGGGGAGGCACAUUAAAAGCCAAGUAAUCUUCUCCCUUGGAUUGUAAGUGGUGUUGUCCAGGUUCAGCAAUUUAUAGGCAAAAGCUGUGUGUAAUAGACUGGAAGACUUCAGAGAAACCAAAGCCAUAUAUACGAGACACGUUUGAUAAUCCACUGCAAAUUGCAGCUUAUAUUGGAGCAAUAAAUCAUGACAAUAAUUAUAAUUUUCAGGUCAACUGUGGUCUCAUAGUGGUGGCGUACAAAGAUGGUUCCCCAGCCCAUAUGCAUUUCAUGGACACAGAUCUUUGUUUGCACUUCUGGAAUAAGUGGCUGCUAAGCUUAGAAGAAUAUAAAAAGAAGAAGGAGGAGGAGAAACAGCAAUGACAACAGGACAUGGCAGUGACAUGUUUUGUUUAAGGUCCCGCAUUUAAAGUCUACUGCCCCUGCAUACACCUCGACCUGAUGUGAAUGAAAUACAAUAUGCAGAAAGGGAGGAACAUCUCAUCUGUACUUUAUAGGUGGCGCCUACAGACAGCGGA